rnacentral:rRNA from 1 species
AUUGAACGCUGGCGGCAUGCUUUACACAUGCAAGUCGAACGGUAACAGGCCGCAAGGUGCUGACGAGUGGCGAACGGGUGAGUAAUGCAUCGGAACGUGCCCAGUCGUGGGGGAUAACGCAGCGAAAGCUGCGCUAAUACCGCAUACGAUCUAUGGAUGAAAGCGGGGGACCGAAGGGCCUCGCGCGAUUGGAGCGGCCGAUGUCAGAUUAGGUAGUUGGUGGGGUAAAGGCUCACCAAGCCAACGAUCUGUAGCUGGUCUGAGAGGACGACCAGCCACACUGGGACUGAGACACGGCCCAGACUCCUACGGGAGGCAGCAGUGGGGAAUUUUGGACAAUGGGCGCAAGCCUGAUCCAGCAAUGCCGCGUGCAGGAAGAAGGCCUUCGGGUUGUAAACUGCUUUUGUACGGAACGAAAAGGCUCUGGUUAAUACCUGGGGCUCAUGGCGGUACCGUAAGAAUAAGCACCGGCUAACUACGUGCCAGCCGCCGCGGUAACAC